rnacentral:lncRNA from 1 species
AACCGGCGAGGCGGUGCGACAGGGAUGCGGGCACGCAGCUCGCGCCCCGGCAGCCGCAGACCAGCCCGGAGCGGGAAGGGGCGGUGCGCGGCCUCUGCAGAGGGUGGGCGGAGUUCCCGCGGUGGCCCCGCCCCUGGCUGGGGGCGCCCGAAGCAACCCGGCCUCGCUUGUGGGGAGCCCUACACCCGCGGCCAGUCCGCCCCUGCGGGGGAAAAUGCCGGAGUGAAACUGGAGCGAUUGCCGCCCCGCCACGUGACGGUCCCGCAUCGGCGACCUGGAAGCGGGUGAGCUGCCGCCGCCUCCAAUCUCUCCCGGCGCAGGGGGCCGGGAUGCGGCCAUGCGGCGGCGCGGGAGGCCCGAGAGCGGGGCUCACCCUCCUCAGACUCUGCGGCGGAGAGCCGAGUGAUGAAUAAAUGAGUAACCACAUCAAUAUUUAAGUGUUCACUCGGAGCCUUGGGGCCAGUGUGUCACGGGUUGGGGGAAAUUACAGGCCCUGGUGGGGGGUUAAAUAACUACUUCCACCCAUUAUUAAGUGCCUACUGUGUGCCAGGGCCUAAGUAUUAACGUAUACUUGGUUUAUUAUUGAUAAUAACGAUGUUUAGUAAUUAUAGAUGCUGAAUUUCAGCCAACUCUGGUCAGUGCGCUUUUAUAUGCAUUACCUCAUUUUAUCCUCAGAGCAACUCUGUGGGGUGAGUAUGGCUUUUAUCCCUAUUUUCCAGAAGAUAAAAUGUCAGCUCAGAUGGGGGAGGGUUGUGAAUCCACUAGAUGCCCCCAGAGCGUUUUUUUUUUUUUUAACUUUCAGAGCCUGUACUUUUAAAAUAAUAAUUUAAAAAUAAUACACACAGCUUUUUUAAAAAAAUCAAAUAGGACAGAAUGGCUUGCAAUGAAAAGCAAGAACUCCCUCUCCAUCCUUCAAUCCAGGGAUGCUGCUUAAAGCCACUGGUGUUUUCAGGUCUGAUGGUUACCUCCACAUCACUACAUUAAGAUGCUCACAUAGCUACAUCUGCAUUUAUCAGGACUGGCCACUGUCUGUUGCCUUCCUCCUAUGAUAGAUAAUGAUUUAGCUGGCUCACACCCACUUCCAUCCCUCAAUCUUGUGUAGUUAUGCUAUUAUUUUUAGUUCCUCUAUAGCAGGGGUCCCCAACCCUUGGGCCACAGACUGGUAACCCUCCAUGUCCUGUUAGGAACUGGGCUGCACAGUAGGAGGUGAGUGGUGGUAGGGGCUAGCUGGUGAAACUUCAUCUGUAUUUACAGCCGCUUCCUAUCGCAUUACCGCCUGAGCUCCACCUCCUGUCAGAUCAGCUGUGGCAUUAAAUUCUCCUAGGAGCACAAACCCUAUUGUGAACUGUGCAUGCGAGGGAUCUAGGUUGCAUACUCCUUAUGAGAAUCUAAUGCCUGAUGAUCUGUCACUGUCUCCCAUCCCCAGAUGGGACCAUCUGGUUGCAGGAAAACAAGGUCAGGGCUCCCACUGAUUCUACAUUAUGGUGAGUCAUAUAAUUGCUUCAUUAUAUAUUACAAUGUAAUGAUAAGAGAAAUAAAGUGCACAGUAAAUGUAAUGCACUUGAAUCAUCCUGAAACCAUCCCUGCCACCCUCAGUCUGUGGAAACUUACAUUUUGGUCCCUGGUGUCAAAAAGGUGGGGAACCAGUGCUCUAUAGGAUACCCAACAGGAGAAACAUGUAUUUCUUCUUAGGGAGACUCCACAGUACCCCUCAACUGUCCACCUUCCAGGCCAUGUCCUCUACUGGGAAUAUGAACCUAGGAAACCAGUAGAGUAGGCAGAGGAGACCCAUGAUAGCACACCCAGCACAGGCCCAGUCCUCACAGCCUCCCACCUUAACUCUUCCAUCAGAAGACUGGAGUGGGGAAGUCCUAGGCACCAGCCCCAUGGUCCAGCAACCCUGACGAUAGCACCUAGCUUUAGAGACAGCCAGAUCUGCCUACAGAUAUUGGCCAUCUGCCUCUUAGUAGCUAUGAAACCUGAAGUUUAAGCCAACUCUCUAACCUCUCUUGGCCUUAUUUCUCCAUUUGGAUAAUGGGAUAAUGAUUCUUACCUCAAGCCAGGCGGAGUGGCUCACACCUGUAAUCCCAGCACUUUAGGAGGCCCAGGCUGGUGGAUCACUUGAAGCCAGGAGUUCAAGACCAGCCUGGGCAACAUGGUGAAACCCCACCUCUACUACAAAGACAAAAAAUUCCCCUGGCGUGGUGGUGGGCACCUGUAGUCCCAGCUACUUGGGAGGCUGAGGCACAAGGAUCACUUGAACCUGGGAGGCAGAGGUUGCAGUGAGCCAAGAUUGUGCUGCUACACUCCAGCCUGGGCGACAGAAUGAGACUUUGUCUCAAAAAAAUAAAAAAUGGGGCCAGGCCUGGUGGCUCAUGCCUGUAAUCCCAGCACUUUGGGAGGCCGAGGCGGAUGGAUCACUUGAGGUCAGGAGUUCCAGACCUGCCUGACCAACAUAGUGAAACCCCGUCUCUUCUGAAACUAUGAAAAUUAGCAGGGCAUGGUGGGGCACACCUGUAAUCCCAGCUACUCAGGAGGCUGAGGCACAAGAAUCACUUGAACCUGGGAGACAGAGGUUGCAGUUAGCCAACAUCGCACCACUGCACUCCAGCCUGUGCAACAGAGUGAGACUCUCUCUCAAAAAAAGAAAAAAUGGAAAUAAAUCAUAACGCAACCAUCCAUAAAUAAACACUGUUAAUAAUUUGUUGUGUUUCUUUCUAGUCUUUAUACUGUAUGUGUUUGUUUUAUAUACAUUAUGGUUUUUGAGACAUCUAAAGUAUAAUUAUUAAAUCUGUGGGCUUUGGAGUCCUGGUUCUACCAUUACUUUAUAUAUAUUAUCACUCUUGGCUAUAAGUCUGUAUACUAAAGAAAAAGUAUAUACAUAUAAUACUUACACACACACACACACACACACACAUAGUCAUGUUUAACCCUGAAGAUAACCAUUUAAAGCAAGUGCUACCCUUGGUUUCACUGAUGAGGAAACAGAAGCAGGAAGAGCUUGGGUGAUUUUCCCCAAGUCUCCAACCGGAAAAUUGUAGAGACUGAGUGGCUCUACUGGCUGUGGUACUCUGCUCUCACACCAGCUUGUUGGUCAGCCAAGCACUAGAUCCAUUUAAAGUCAAUAAAGAAGGAAGUGUUCUCAUACCCAUUUUACAGACGAAGAUUGAGGCAACCAAGGUUACAAGAGUCAGGAUGAACCUCCCACUUUAAGAGUGAAUUCUUCAAGGACUUUGCAAGUGACGAUAUCAUCACUAAACUUCAACUAACAUAAAUGUGUCACUCCUUCAGCGGGUCUGUUUCAUCUGUUUGCCUGUUCUCCAACGUUACUGCUCCUACCUCCUCCCUCCCUCCUCCUCCGCCAAGGAGGAGCAAAGCACCAGGAAAGGGGAAAAGGUGGAGAGCACUCAGAUGGCUCCUCUGCCUCACCUGCCCUCUGGCUCUCUUUCCUCCUGCCUUGGCCCUCACAGAUUGGCAAGCUCAAGCUUCCUGCUGGCUCUGGACUGUGGCUGGCUAUAGGAGGGGAACGAAACCAGCCAGGGCUCCCACCCCACGUUGCCUGGCCCUAGAAGGAAAAGCCAGGUCUGCUAGCUGUCUGUGGUUGAGAAAAGAGCAGAAACACCAGAUACUGAGGUCUUGGCCAUCUAAAGGUGUGUUUCCUCCUCUAUAAGAUGAGAUCCCCCCCACUCCCUGCAGCAGCCUGCAUAAGAGUUAGACAAGAAGACCCCAAAAGCAUCAGUUUCCUCUGCCUCCCCAGGGCUGGGUGUCCUCACUGCCUUCCUGGGCCUCUCUAGUCCAUUGGAGACAGUUCUUGCUUGAAAAGCAUCCACCUAUGUGUAGCUUCCACUCAUUGCCCCCUCUUCAGUACCACUAAGCCCAUUUGCUUUUCCAUGUAGACACUUCACAUGUAUUUGUCCUGCUCUUCCAGCUACAUUUCCCUCUGUUCUUCACCUCACCUUCCUGCAGCUAUUUUCCAGGCCCUCUUUAUAGCAGAACCACAUGCCCAGGUCUAAGCCCUGGUGCCACCACUUACUAACUGUAUAAGCAUGGGCAAAUUACUGAACCCUACUGAGUCUGUUUCCACCUCUGUAAAAUGGGCCUGCUAAUAAGAAAUUACCUCAUAGGGUUAGUAUGAGAGCUAUCUCAAUACACCCUAAGCAGUAAUGAGCAUGAAUUAUCAUCUUAGAACUCUUUGCUGAAGGCAAAAGCUUCUGCCUCCUUGUUGUUUCAUUUGCAUUUCUUUGAUUGCCAGAGAGAUUGAACUUCUUUUCAGUUAUUAGUCAUUUGUAUUUCCUUCUUUAAUGAAUUGUC